GAUGAACGCUGGCGGCGUGCCUAAUACAUGCAAGUCGAGCGAACAGACGAGGAGCUUGCUCCUCUGACGUUAGCGGCGGACGGGUGAGUAACACGUGGAUAACCUACCUAUAAGACUGGGAUAACUUCGGGAAACCGGAGCUAAUACCGGAUAAUAUAUUGAACCGCAUGGUUCAAUAGUGAAAGACGGUUUUGCUGUCACUUAUAGAUGGAUCCGCGCCGCAUUAGCUAGUUGGUAAGGUAACGGCUUACCCAGGCAACGAUGCGUAGCCGACCUGAGAGGGUGAUCCGCCACCCUGGAACUGAGACACGGUCCAGACUCCGACGGGAGGCAGCAGUAGGGAAUCUUCCGCGAUGGGCGAAAGCCUGACGGAGCAACGCCGCGUGAGUGAUGAAGGUCUUCGGAUCGUAAAACUCUGUUAUUAGGGAAGAACAAAUGUGUUAGUAACUAUGCACGUCUUGACGGUACCUAAUCAGAAAGCCACGGCUAACUACGUG
rnacentral:rRNA from 1 species